CUUGCUGGGCUGGAUGAGUGGCGAACGGGUGAGUAACACGUGAGUAACCUGCCCUCUUCUUUGGGAUAACGGUCGGAAACGGCUGCUAAUACCGGGUAUUCACUGUCCUCCGCAUGGGGGGUGGUGGAAAGGUUUUUUCUGGUGGGGGAUGGGCUCGCGGCCUAUCAGCUUGUUGGUGGGGUGAUGGCUUACCCCGGCUUUGACGGGUAACCGGCCUGAGAGGGUGACCGGUCUCAUUGGGACUGAGAUACGGCCCCCACUCCUACCGGAGGCACCUUUGGGCAAUAUUGCAUUUUGCGCGAAAGCAUGAUCCCCCCCCGCCUCGUGCGGGGAGGAAGUCCCUCUUCGGUUUUUUUUUUUCUUUCAUGGUUUCCUCUGCU
rnacentral:rRNA from 1 species